rnacentral:rRNA from 1 species
GAUGAACGCUGGCGGCGUGCUUAACACAUGCCAGUCGAACGUAGCAUUUAGGACAGAUUACUUCGGUUUGAAGUUCUUUAUGACUGAGUGGCGGACGGGUGAGUAACGCGUGGGUAACCUGCCUUGUACUGGGGGAUAGCAGCUGGAAACGGCUGGUAAUACCGCAUAAGCGCACAAUGUUGCAUGACAUGGUGUGAAAAACUCCGGUGGUAUAAGAUGGACCCGCGUCUGAUUAGCUAGUUGGUGAGAUAACAGCCCACCAAGGCGACGAUCAGUAGCCGACCUGAGAGGGUGACCGGCCACAUUGGGACUGAGACACGGCCCAGACUCCUACGGGAGUCAGCAGUGGGGAAUAUUGCACAAUGGAGGAAACUCUGAUGCAGCGACGCCGCGUGAGUGAAGAAGUAAUUCGUUAUGUAAAGCUCUAUCAGCAGGGAAGAUAGUGACGGUACCUGACUAAGAAGCUCCGGCUAAAUACGUG